rnacentral:rRNA from 1 species
CCUACGGGAGACAGCAGUGAGGAAUAUUGGUCAAUGGGCGAGAGCCUGAACCAGCCAAGCCGCGUGAGGGAAGACGGUCCUAUGGAUUGUAAACCUCUUUUGUCGAGGAGCAAAAAGGCCUCGUGAGGCCACAAGUGAGAGUACCCGAAGAAACAGCAUCGGCAAACUCAGUGCCAGCGGCCGCGUUAAUACGGGGGAUGCGAACUUUAUCCGGAUUUAUCGGGUUAAAAGGGUGCGUAGGCGGACUGGACUGUCAGCGGUAAAAUCGCGAGGCUAAACCUCUUUCCGCCGUUGAAACUGUCAGUCUUGAGUGCGCGAGAAGUAUGCGGAAUGCGUGGUGUAGCGGUGAAAUGCAUAGAUAUCACGAAGAACUCCGAUUGCGAAGGCAGCAUACUGGAGCCCGACUGACGCUGAGGCACGAAAGCGUGGGUAUCGAACAGGAUUAGAUACCCUAGUAGUC